UCAGAAUUUGACUUGCCCUCUUUGCUGAAUUUUUGGUCUCCUAUUGUCAAAGAAGGGAGGAAGAAACAACUUGGCUGCCACUCAGCUGUCCCAGAAUGUGGGCCCGACGGGCUGAUCGGAUACGGGCCGCGGUGGGGGUGCGACAUGGGCUCGGGAGAAAGAGGCCCAAAGAACUUUUCCUUUGUAUUUUACAUUCUUUCUUCUAAUUUCAUGUUUCAAUUAUGUAAGAUAAAUAGUAAGUCCAGAGAUGCGUACAUAAAUUUUCAUUCGUGACA